CCCGCGUCGACCGGCGCGUGCCCGUUGCCACCGUCGGGCACGGUUGCGCCGACGUUUUCCCUAAACGAGCCAUCGGUGUCGUCGCGGGUUUUGUCGCAGGGAUCGUGGUUGUCGCCGUGGUCGGCAUUGUCGGUCGACUCGAUGUGCAUGGUCGCCGUGUCGAGGCUCGCAGACAUGGCAGAGGCUCGUCAAAGAAAAAAAAAGUGUCCAGAAAAAGGGGGGGGGCGUGCGCGUGAUGCGCUCGGUCGGUUGUCGCUCUCUCUCUCUCUCCCUCGCGAUCUUGCGUAUAUUUUUGUCUUACUUUCGGCGCUCCCUUUCGUGCUUCUUUCGUGCUUCUUUCGUGCCUCCUUUUCUUUUCGACGCGCGCGCUGCCGCAAGGUCGAAAGGGCGACGAAAGAGGAAGAGAGAAGAAGAAAGACAAAAGUGUCGGUUGGGCGCCGAGAUCGAGGAAGGAAGAGCCGAGGCACCAAAGAGCGCGCAAGAAAAAAAAAGAAACUUGCAGCGAGGCACCAAAAAUGCCGACGGCAGCGGGCCAAAGAGAAGAAACAAAGAGCAGGAGGAAAAGAAAACAAGAGGCGGUGCAGUAGUGCCAACAAUAACCUGCCGACCGCCGAGGCACACCCCUUUUCAACCGCGCGCCCCUCGUCCGUGGGCGCCCGUUGACCGUCGACAUAAAAAAUAAAGCGCGCGCUCCUGCUGGUGGAGCGAAAUUCCGCCAAUGCAAAGGAUUCCUUUUUCUCAUUGGAGCGCGUCGGUCGUGC
rnacentral:lncRNA from 1 species